AACGAACGCUGGCGGCAUGCCUAACACAUGCAAGUCGAACGAGACCUUCGGGUCUAGUGGCGCACGGGUGCGUAACGCGUGGGAACCUGCCCUUAGGUUCGGAAUAACUCCCCGAAAGGGGUGCUAAUACCGGAUAAUGUCUUCGGACCAAAGAUUUAUCGACUUUGGAUGGGCCCGCGUUGGAUUAGCUAGUUGGUAGGGUAAAAGCCUACCAAGGCGACGAUCCAUAGCUGGUCUGAGAGGAUGAUCAGCCACACUGGGACUGAGACACGGCCCAGACUCCUACGGGAGGCAGCAGUGGGGAAUAUUGGACCAUGGGCGAAAGCCUGAUCCAGCAAUGCCGCGUGAGUGAUGAAGGCCUUAGGGUUGUAAAGCGCUUUUAACCGGGAUGAUAAUGACAGUACCGGGAGAAUAAGCUCCGGCUAACUACGUG
rnacentral:rRNA from 1 species